UCGGGAUGGGAGUUACGCUGAGGUAUGGAAGGUCUCAUCUGAAACCACCGUGGUCAACAGGACCAGCGAGGCCAGCCUUCUCCCUCUACUCGCCACGUGGCAGAAGUCCGAGGACAUCGCACAGAAAAUCCUUUACUCCAUCGAAUGCGAGAUGAGGCAGUGUCCAUACACUCUAGGUCUCGGAGAGCCGAACCUCGCCGGAAAACCUAACCUCGAUUACGACGCCGUUUGCAAGCCAAGUGACGUUCAUAGUCUCAAAAAGAAUCCAUACGAUCAUAUAGACAACCACGAGAACCAAACGCUGUACACCAC
rnacentral:misc_RNA from 1 species